UACAGAGGUCCCAAGCGUUGUUCGGAUUCACUGGGCGUAAAGGGCGUGUAGGCGGUCAGGUAAGUGAAAUGUGAAAUGCCUCGGCUCACCCGAGGACCGGCAUCUCAUACUGCCUGACUUGAGUACGGGAGAGGAUGUGGGAAUUCCUGGUGUAGCGGUGAAAUGCGUAGAUAUCAGGAGGAACACCGGUGGCGAAGGCGCACAUCUGGCCCGAUACUGACGCUGAGGCGCGAAAGCUAGGGGAGCAAACGGG
rnacentral:rRNA from 1 species